rnacentral:rRNA from 1 species
UGGGGAAUAUUGGGCAAUGGAGGAAACUCUGACCCAGCAACGCCGCGUGAGUGAAGAAGGUCUUCGGAUUGUAAAGCUCUGUGAUGGGGGACGAAAAAAAUGACGGUACCCCAAUAGCAAGCCACGGCAAACUACGUGCCAGCAGCCGCGGUAAUACGUAGGUGGCAAGCGUUGUCCGGAAUGACUGGGCGUAAAGGGUGCGUAGGUGGUUAUAUAAGUUGGAAGUGAAAUACCGGAGCUUAACUUCGGAACUACUACCAAAACUAUAUAACUUGAGUGCAGGAGAGGUAAGUGGAAUUCCUAGUGUAGCGGUGGAAUGCGUAGAUAUUAGGAGGAACAUCAGAGGCGAAGGCGACUUACUGGACUGUAACUGACACUGAGGCACGAAAGCGUGGGGAGCAAACA